GUUUCCCUGGGGUUGUGGGACCUCAACGUGGGACCGCAAAGGUGAGUGUAAUGGUUUGGAAAAACCAACCAGAGACCGUGACAGUCGGGUGCGCGAAGCCGGAGUGGCCCUAGAGGGAUCCCAAGUAAUGCGGAACACGUGAAACUCUGCAUGAAUCUGUCCAGACCACUGGAUAAGGCUAAAUACUACUUGGCAACCGAUAGUGAACUAGUACCGUGAGGGAAAGGU
rnacentral:rRNA from 1 species